ensembl:lncRNA
CUUCACUGUUCAUCCUCCCAUUGACUCUUUGCUGUUGUUCUGUAUGGUUUUGACAGUGUAUGCAUGGCUGUUUUCAUUUGCCUGUCGUUAACCCCAUUGAUAGCCAUGUCUAUGUGCUUCCUUCAGAGUGUUCCAUCAAACCACCUCACCACCCCUCUCCUUGCCCUCUCUCAACUCUUUUGAAGAAAGGUUGACAUUUCCUAUAGCAUAUCUCUUUAAAAAAGGUCAACAUUUCCUAUAGCAUAUCUCUUUAAAAAGUCAACAUUUCCUAUAGCAUAUCUCUUUAAAAAGUCAACAUUUCCUGUAGCAUAUCUCUUUAAAAAAGGUCAACAUUUCCUAUAGCAUAUCUCUUUAAAAAAAGGUCAACAUUUCCUACAGCAUAUCUCUUUAGAACAGUAAUAUUACCAAAGGUAGUAAAUCUGUUGGAUUCAUGAAGCUUAUAGAAACCAUCAACCUUCUUAAUGCAUUCAAGCCAAAUAACUCUCUGGCAAAGAUACUGUAUGUGAUAUUGUAAGCCUACACCAAAUCAAGGUAAAGUCAAAUCUACUGUCAUAUUCUGUCAGUAGAACACAAAAAGAACAAUGUUGGUUUGUUAUAAUAUUGCAAGUUGUACAUUCCAUUUUAGAGUAGAAACUUGAAAGUAACUUUCAAAUGUUGGAUUCAUAACAGUAGGACUAUUUGCAAUUGAAGAGGUAGUGUAGUAGUGAUAGUAUGACUACUGUAGAAGUAGCAGUAGCAGUUGUUAUUGUAGUAGUAGUAGUAGUUAUUGUAGUAUUAUUAGUAGCAUGUAUAACAGUGCUAGUGCUACUAGUAGUAGCAAUUAUGCUAUGGGGAGCAGGAGUAACUGUAGCAACAGUGGUUGUAGCAGCGUUAAUA